rnacentral:lncRNA from 1 species
AUGGGGGCUGGGGGCAUUGAGAGGCUGGGGUCGCAGCAGGGAUGGAGCCAGGGGCAGCAUGGAACUGGGGUAUCACAAGGUCAGGACCAGCAUGGAAUGGUGGAUGCCGGCUCAGAGUACCAGGACUGGUGCCUUGAGGACCAGGUGAUUUAUUCACUAGCCCUUCCCCACCCAGUGUCUCUCAACUUCUGCCACACUGGUGAGGCUCCAGCCACAUCACAGCACCUGGACCCAUGUUUUUGCUGCCACAUGGCACUAUCCUGCUGUCACUGGGUCCUUGCCCUCCCUUUUACUGUUAUUGGCCUGCUGCUGGUAGUUGAAGACUUGCUGGGAGAGAGGAGCACAGUGUUUGCAACCAGUAUCCCCAGUGAUGGGGAGGACAGGGGACAUUGCCACGCCCACCGCCGGCCCUCACCUGCAGAACAAUCCGUUCUUGUUGGCCAUCUCACUGCUGCCCAUGUCGCUCUCCUUGCUCUUUUCCCCCAGCUGGACUCACAGCUGGGCAGGCAUUCUGGAGGGGAGUCUCUGGCCCUUUAUCAUGUCCUUGAUGCACUGCAGCAGCUGCCGCCCUCGCUCCUGGUGCAGCAGCUGCCGCCCUCGCUCCUGGCCCCGCAGCGCCCGCACAGCACCCAGCCACAGCUCUGGUGUCUCCUCAUCACUGGAGUCCCUGCAGGGGCAGAGAGGGCAAGGGUGAACUGCAGCCCCCCAGGCUUGGCUGGGCUCCCAGCACCCCUCUGCUCACAUCUCCUCAUCCCCAGGGGCCGGGUAGCUCAAGGGGGCCAUGCAGACAGAGCAGGUGUUGUUCGCCAUGCAGACAGAGCAGGUGUUGUUCAGGGCUCUGUAGCACUCGCUGCAAUACAACCCUGCGGAAAAUGGGCCUGUCAGGGCAAACGUGGGAUCCUCUGGGGAGGGGUCCCCAAGCUGUGCGGGCUCCUACCUUUGCAGCCGGCCGUGAUGCACGUGCUGAAACCUGGCUGCUCUGCAGGUCAGGCAGCUGGAUGCCCAAGAAGCGAGUGA